GGCUGCGACUGUUUAUUAAAAACACAGCACUCUGCAAAUUCGUAAGAAGACGUAUAGGGUGUGACGCCUGCCCGGUGCCGGAAGGUUAAUUGAUGGGGUUAUCUUCGGAGAAGCUCUUGAUCGAAGCCCCGGUAAACGGCGGCCGUAACUAUAACGGUCCUAAGGUAGCGAAAUUCCUUGUCGGGUAAGUUCCGACCUGCACGAAUGGCGUAACGAUGGCCACACUGUCUCCACCCGAGACUCAGUGAAAUUGAAAUCGCUGUGAAGAUGCAGUGUACCCGCGGCUAGACGGAAAGACCCCGUGAACCUUUACUAUAGUUUUGCACUGGACUUUGAUGAUGACUGUGUAGGAUAGGUGGGAGGCUGUGAAGUGAGGACGCUAGUUCUCAUGGAGCCGCCCUUGAAAUACCACCCUGUUGUUAUUGAGGUUCUAACUUGGUCCAGUAAUCCUGGAUGAGGACAGUGUAUGAUGGGUAGUUUGACUGGGGCGGUCUCCUCCCAAAGAGUAACGGAGGAGCACAAAGGUACCCUCGGUACGGUCGGACAUCGUACCAAGAGUGUAAAGGCAAAAGGGUGCUUGACUGCGAGAGUGACGGCUCGAGCAGGAACGAAAGUUGGUCUUAGUGAUCCGGUGGUUCUGAAUGGAAGGGCCAUCGCUCAACGGAUAAAAGGUACUCCGGGGAUAACAGGCUGAUACCGCCCAAGAGUUCAUAUCGACGGCGGUGUUUGGCACCUCGAUGUCGGCUCAUCACAUCCUGGGGCUGAAGCAGGUCCCAAGGGUAUGGCUGUUCGCCAUUUAAAGUGGUACGCGAGCUGGGUUUAGAACGUCGUGAGACAGUUCGGUCCCUAUCUGCCGUGGGCGUAGGAAAAUUGAGAGGAGCUGCUCCUAGUACGAGAGGACCGGAGUGGACGAACCUCUGGUGCACCGGUUGUCACGCCAGUGGCAUGGCCGGGUAGCUAAGUUCGGACGGGAUAACCGCUGAAAGCAUCUAAGCGGGAAGCCUCCCUCAAGAUGAGUUUUCCCAUGAAGCCCGUUGAAGACUACGACGUUGAUAGGCAAGGUGUGGAAGCGCAGUAAUGCGUGAAGCUAACUUGUACUAAUUGGCUGAUUGUCUUGACCAUAUAAUCUGAG
rnacentral:rRNA from 2 species